rnacentral:lncRNA from 1 species
CCUGCCCCUAGAGUCAACAAACAUUUACUUAGCAACGGUCCUUGUUUCAGACGUUGUGUUGGAAACUAGGAAGAUUAAGGGAACUAAGAAAAGUCUAAGGACAGGAACUUGUAGUGUAGCUGGGGACAGAGUGUGGAAUAAAUAAUUGUGAAGAGCAAUAAAGAUAGCAGUAUGAAUCAGGCCUGCUCUGGAAAAAUCUGAUCAGGUGAUUCCUUUGAAUUCAAGUAACAGGAAAUCUUGACCCAAAUGGUCCUGCGUGAUAAGGAUAUUUAUUGUCAACAUAACAGGAAACUCAGAGACAGUGGAUUCUAAGUGCGGCAUCAUCAGGGCUACUGUCCUCAGCUGUCCUAUUUGCUCUGCCUGCUUUGGUGCUGGCUCCAGCAGCACUGAGCGGAAUUUCCUGCUUUGGAUAAAGUGUCAAACACCUUCACCCUCCGGAGCCCCAGUGUGCCUGCUGAGAAAUAAACCAGAACACCCACGUGAGGAGUGAUCGAUUUCCCAAAGAACACAAAUGAAAUAAAGACGCGGAGUAAUCAGAGAGGAGCUCGGCAAGUGGAUGAUUAACUGGUGGUCGUAAGGUCAUGAUGCAUGGAGUCAUCUUCCAGGUGGAGUGAAUCAGUCCCUUCUCAAGAGACCAGCGAGUCUGUCGGCAGGAAACCCACCGAAACCAAGGCUGUAAAAACAGCCUGUGAAGAGGUCACAACCAAGCAAGCUGCCUGUGAGUCGUGAAGAAUUCUCAGGCAGGAGCACGAAAGGAACAGAGAGCCGCAGAGCCCACCCAAGCAGGCAGCAGUCGCGGGAGGCAGGUGCACUCAUGGUGAUAAGUGCUUCCAAACCAAACGGGCAGCUGACAGAGGGACAUCA